rnacentral:tRNA from 1 species
GAUGGUGUAGCUUAGUGGCUGGAGUAUUUUCCUAGAAUGCAUAAAGUCCUGGGUUCAACUCCCAGUACCAUAU